rnacentral:rRNA from 1 species
AUUGAACGCUGGCGGAAUGCUUUACACAUGCAAGUCGAACGGCAGCACGGGUGCUUGCACCUGGUGGCGAGUGGCGAACGGGUGAGUAAUACAUCGGAACGUACCCAGUCGCGGGGGAUAACGUAGCGAAAGUUACGCUAAUACCGCAUACGUCCUGAGGGAGAAAGCGGGGGACCGUAAGGCCUCGCGCGAUUGGAGCGGCCGAUGGCGGAUUCGCGAGUUGGUGGGGUAAAGGCCUACCAAGGCGACGAUCCGUAGCGGGUCUGAGAGGACGGCCCGCCACACUGGAACUGAGACACGGUCCAGACUCCUACGGGAGGCAGCAGUGGGGAAUUUUGGACAAUGGGCGAAAGCCUGAUCCAGCCAUUCCGCGUGAGUGAAGAAGGCCUUCGGGUUGUAAAGCUCUUUCGGCAGGGAAGAAACGGCUUGGGAUAAUACCCCGGGCUAAUGACGGUACCUGAAGAAGAAGCACCGGCUAACUACGUGCCAGCCGCCGCCGUAA